AUGCCCCCACCCGUGCAGAGAGGGGCAUUUCCCCUGCUGUCCCCAGGACAGAGAUUCCAGGAACAUUUGUGCCUCUCCAGUCCUUUGUGCUCUCUGGCCCAGAAAUACCAGGUUUUAGCUUCCACAUUUUUGCUGAGGGAGCCAGGGAGAACUGGAGAACCUUUGGGAGUCAGCCAAAGAAACAAGCAUAAGCACAGUGCCCUUCUGGAACAAACUGUGUUUCCCAGAACUCCUGCAGGACUGUGCAAGUGGAACACAAGGAAGCCUGGGAAGAAUCAAAGACAAGGAGAUGUAAAAUACAGACACCUGCUGUAACACAGUGACUCAGUGGCUGCCCUGGGUGGUGUGGGCACCGAGGGAGAAGCAGCCCUGAGGAUGGGCUUUGAGCAGCUCAGCUGAGCAGAUGCUGCUUGAGAGCAAAGGAGAGAGGGCUCUGUGAGUCCCCAAAGCUGCUGGGGGAUUCCUACAGGGCCCUCAAAACCUGCGCAGUAAC